UACGUAGGGACCAAGCGUUGUCCGGAAUCAUUGGGCGUAAAGCGCGCGUAGGUGGCCAUUUAAGUCCGCUGUGAAAGUCAAAGGCUCAACCUUUGAAAGCCGGUGGAUACUGGAUGGCUAGAGUACGGAAGAGGCGAGUGGAAUUCCUGGUGUAGCGGUGGAAUGCGCAGAUAUCAGGAGGAACACCAAUAGCGAAGGCAGCUCGCUGGACGUUACUGACACUGAGGCGCGAAAGCGUGGGGAGCGAACAGG
rnacentral:rRNA from 1 species